rnacentral:rRNA from 1 species
UACGUAGGGUGCAAGCGUUGUCCGGAAUUAUUGGGCGUAAAGGGCUCGUAGGCGGUCCAUCGCGUCGGGAGUGAAAAGCUGGGGCUUAACCCCAGUCCUGCUUCCGAUACGGGUGGACUAGAGGUAGGUAGGGGAGAACGGAAUUCCUGGUGUAGCGGUGAAAUGCGCAGAUAUCAGGAGGAACACCGGGUGGCGAAGGCGGUCUCUGGGCCUUACCUGACGCUGAGGAGCGAAAGCAUGGGGAGCAAACAGG